rnacentral:rRNA from 1 species
GAUGAACGCUAGCUACAGGCUUAACACAUGCAAGUCGAGGGGAAACGAUAGAGAAAGCUUGCUUUUUCUAGGCGUCGACCGGCGCACGGGUGAGUAACGCGUAUCCAACCUGCCCACCACUUGGGGAUAACCUUGCGAAAGUAAGACUAAUACCCAAUGAUAUCUCAAGAAGACAUCUGAAUGAGAUUAAAGAUUUAUCGGUGAUGGAUGGGGAUGCGUCUGAUUAGCUUGUUGGCGGGGUAACGGCCCACCAAGGCGACGAUCAGUAGGGGUUCUGAGAGGAAGGUCCCCCACAUUGGAACUGAGACACGGUCCAAACUCCUACGGGAGGCAGCAGUGAGGAAUAUUGGUCAAUGGGCGAGAGCCUGAACCAGCCAAGUAGCGUGCAGGAUGAUGGCCCUAUGGGUUGUAAACUGCUUUUAUAAGGGAAUAAAGUGAGCCUCGUGAGGCUUUUUGCAUGUACCUUAUGAAUAAGGGCCGGCUAAUUCCGUGCCAGCCGCCGCGGUAA